rnacentral:lncRNA from 1 species
GGCUCAUGUCCAGCCCCAAAAUAGUUCUUGUGCCAAGUCCAAAAAAAAGAUCACAUGAGAGGGGGGAAAAAGUAAAGCAAAUGAUUUUCCUUAUUUUCUUAGCUUGUCCUACGUGGGUGCUAGUAUAGAGACCUGAGCUUCCAGGGGCUUCACUACCUCAGGGUCCCACCUCAACCUGCUCAGUAAUGGAUGCCAGAUUUUGACUGGGACCCGACAGCAAUCUGGAUUUGUUAGUGAGCUUGGUGAUACUAUUUUCACUUGGAGCCCUUUUUUGGUGAGCUUUUCUGUGUGUCUCUCCCUUCAGGAUCCUCUUGGCCUUCAGUGAAGAAGACCGAUCUGGGAAAGGGCCCCCCCUGUCCCAACACAACACCUAACCGCCCCAUAGGCAGGUCAACAGCAUCGCCUCCUUUAGGGAAACUCUCUUCCUUAACUGUUGCAAGGAACUCCCUUCCUCCCACAGCUCCAGCCCUGUUGCUCCUACUUUUCAACAGUGUGUGCUGACCAGAGCAGAAAACAGCCUGAAAGUGCCUGAGCCUGAGAACCAAGAGCUGCAGGAGCAAGGCAACAGGAAAAUCCUCAGCACAGAGGGAGAACUGCAGCAGCAGCAGAGUGGAACUGCACAGGCGUCAAGCGGAGGUGAAACCUGCAGCAUUGCUGACACUCCUUCUUUCCAGAGCGACAGCAGCAGCGUUUCCUGCCUAAGACGAACACAAGUCCCAGAGCUGCCAGCCACCCCUCUCUCAGGAGCACUGUGCUGCAGGUAAGCUACCACCAUCCCAUGUGAGAAUCAUAGACGAGGCUGCAGGUUGAGGAUGCAUAGUGAUGUGUGUGGGUGUGAAGGGGACAAAGGGAAGAGAUGGAGAACAGUUGCAGUAGAUAAUGCUGUGAUUCCUGUAAGUGCUGCAGGCCCUCAGGAAGAAUAACAUCUGCAAAUCUCCAGUGCUACAGCUAAGUUUAUACAAUGGCAGAGAUUGUGGCCCCCAUCCUCCUCCUCCUCAUACUUCACAUUUUUAUAGCACACAUUCCAUCGCAAAGCCUGACUACAGCCGCCUCUGGAGGGAGGGAGCAGACAGCACACUCUACAGCACUGGGGCUGGGGGGAUUCUAGUCAAGUAUAGAUGAGUAAACCGCUCCAGUGCUUACAACAAACAUCCUGGGACCUUUAAAGGCCACUCAGAUUAGACAGGACCGUGAUCUCAUCUGAACACCACACACCCAGUAAACGGCACGGAAGGCAAUUUAUCUAGCCCAGGAGGAGGGAAAUUGAUCCCAUCAGACUACAAGUAGUUCCUGUGAGUCAGCCUAUUUCAGCACUGAUGCUUAUACCAGGAAGUCA